rnacentral:tRNA from 1 species
GGCCUGCUGGUGACAGGGGGUCAGUGCGCGGCGUGGUAGGCGUCGCGGACCGUGGCGGGGAUGACGCCCCCGGUUCGUGGCCGGGGCAGGUUC